rnacentral:rRNA from 1 species
GGUUCGAUCUGGCUCAGAUUGAACGCUGGCGGGAUGCCCCACACAUGCAAGUCAGACGGCAGCACGGACUUCGGUCUGGUGGCGAGUGGCGAACGGGUGAGUAAUGUAUCGGAACGUACUGUAGCGGGGGAUAACUACGCGAAAGCGUAGCUAAUACCGCAUACGCCCUUCAGGAAAGCGGGGGACCUUCGGGCCUCGCACUAUUAGAGCGGCCGAUAUCGGAUUAGCUGGUUGGUGGAGUAACGGCUCACCAAGGCGACGAUCCGUAGCUGGUUUGAGAGGACGACCAGCCACACUGGGACUGAGACACGGCCCAGACUCUGCAGGAGGCAGCAGUGGGGAAUUUUGGACAAUGGGGGAAACCCUGAUCCAGCCAUCCCGCGUGUGCGAUGAAGGCCUUCGGGUUGUAAAAGCACUUUUGGCAGGAAGGAAACGGCACGGGAUAAUACCCCGUGCAACUGACGGUACCUGCAGAAUAAGCACCGGCUAACUACGUGCCAGCAGCCGCGUAAUACCGUAGGGUGCAAGCGUUAAUCGGAAUUACUGGGCGUAAAGCGUGCGCAGGCGGUUCGGAAAGAAAGAUGUGAAAUCCCAGAGCUUAACUUUGGAACUGCAUUUUUAACUACCGAGCUAGAGUGUGUCAGAGGGAGGUGGAAUUCCGCGUGUAGCAGUGAAAUGCGUAGAUAUGCGGAGGAACACCGAUGGCGAAGGCGGCCUCCUGGGAUAACACUGACGCUCAUGCACGAAAGCGUGGGAGCAAACAGGAUUAGAUACCCUGGUAGUCCACGCCCCAACCGAUGUCAACUAGCUGUUGGGGCCUUCGGGCCUUGGUAGCGCAGCUAACGCGUGAAGUUGACCGCGCAGGAGUACGGUCGCAAGAUUAAAACUCAAAGGAAUUGACGGGGACCCGCACAAGCGGUGGAUGAUGUGGAUUAAUUCGAUGCAACGCGAAAAAUGCCACCUACCCUUGACAUGUCUAUGGAAUCCCGAAGAGAUUUGGGAGUGCUCGCAAGAGAACCGGAACACAGGUGCUGCAUGGCUGUCGUCAGCUCGUGUCGUGAGAUGUUGGGUUAAGUCUGGCGAGCGCAACCCUUGUCGAUAGUUGCUGAGGGCACUCUAAUGAGACUGCCGGUGACAAACCGGAGGAAGGUGGGGAUGACGUCAGAGUCCUCAUGGCCCUUAUGGGUAGGGCUUCGUGUAAUGGUCGGGACAGAGGGUCGCCAACCCGCGAGGAGGGCAAUCCAAACCCGAUCGUAGUCCGGAUCGCAGUCUGCAACUCGACUGCGUGAAGUCGGAAUCGCUAGUAAUCGGAUCAGCAUGUCGCGGUGAAUACGUUCCCGGGUCUUGUACACACCGCCCGUCACACCAUGGGAGUGGGUUUUACCAGAAGUAGUUAGCCUAACCGUAAGGAGGGCGAUUACCACGGUAGGAUUCAUGACUGGGGUGAAGUCGUAACAAGGUAA